CCGACUCAAUAGUCAGUGGUCUUCUAGCAUUGCCGGGCGUCGUCUCGCACCAUCGAGCACGACAACGUCUACAUCUAGACGGCAUUUCUGAAGGAGCAUUGGCCCAACCUUUACAGCGACCACCAUCGGUUGACAUGGGGCAUGCCUAAAGGAGUAUUGUCUGGCAUAAAAGCUCGUGAUGGGUUCCAAUAACGAUUCCAUACAUAUCCAAUCCUGGCCAAGGAUAUCAUGCUUUACACUCAAAUGCAUCAAUUUAAAUAAUAUGCUUGGGCCUAUUUUUUCACAUUAAAAACAUCCCGGUAAAAUAGUGUGUGUGGAUACACGGUUAAAUUGGACCAUAAAGCGUGAUAUCCUUUCGUUUUAAAAUCUCACAAUUUUAUAUAGUACUAAAAACAUUUUCGGCAUCAAAAACUGACACCUAGUAUUUUUUUCUAAUUAAAUACCAAAAUUUCACAUUUUUGAAAUAAUAAUUCAAGAAUCAACACCCAGCAUCAAAUUGCACAAAUUAACAAUCAUUUACACAAACUAAUACAACCAAGACGAUCAUCACGAAAUUCUGACAACCGGCUAUCUUGGUAUAAUUUUCGGAAAAUAUUAAAUAAUUAAAUAAAUUACAAUUAAAUAAAUAAAUUGCGUUUAAUUAAACCAAACUACCUAAUUAACCUGACCAUGCAGGCACAUCAUCGAUCAAGUCAAGUUUUACCUUCCAUUAUAUAGCCAAAACACCAAAAUCCCCUUUAAAAGUAAACUUAGUAACUCCUUUUUUUUUUUUUGUUCAAACCUUCCAAAAUAAAUUCGUACGGGGUCCCGUAUUUGAAAUUAACCCGCCAAACUUUGCAUGAAUUUAGUAUAAAACCUCCUCGUUUUAUUAAGCACAUAAAACUUGGUGUCCAAACCUAACAGCAUAUUUCUUUUAUAAUUUCUUUUCCCAACCCCCUCUUUUGAAAACAACCUUUAGUAACCCCUCUUUUUUUUUUUUUGUUCAAACGUUUAGAAAUAAAUUUGUAGGUGCUCACGUACUCAAAAUUAAACCGUCAAAUUUUGCACGUACCAAGUUUAAAACCUUAUUGUUUUAUUGGGCAAAUAAGUUUUGUGUCUAGACCUAAUACCUCAUUUAUUUUCUAUUUAAUAGUCCAAGAGGUCACAUUUUAUAACAAUGCUAAAUAACCAACAUAGAGCGAUCCAUCUCAUCACCUCACACCUAAGUUCUCAACAUACCACAAGUCCACCACAUCACUAAAUACACCUUAUUUAGCAAGCAAAACAUCAAGAACAACCACAAAAUCACUACCGCUCAUAAUCGGCAGAAACUGGGCCACUCGCAUGUCUCCAAGUUUAAUUCUAGAAUUCUACCCAAACGAGCUUAGAAAAUUCUCAAAUUUGAAUAUGUUGUGGAGGAAACCUAAAAGAAAUUUUUUUAUGAGACACCUUAACCCAUAUCUUUCUAUAUUAAGCCUAAUAAAUUGCUCAAUCUAGUACAAAAAACUCUGUCCGUUUCUAAAAAGUAUGUUUUCCAAAAUCAGUUUGGUUCAAGACCUAAAACCUGCCUGUUUGAUUUGAAAUUUGAGUAUGUUAAAACAAAAGAUGUUGCAAACAACUUCUGUGAUGAAACUAUUUUGAAAUUCAAAUCGUAAGAGUUGAUUAAAAUCCCUAGAAUCUCAAAAGGUCACGAAUUCAAGCACAGUCCGAGAAUUUGUUUGCAAAUGACGGAGCUGAAAUCUCAUACUUUUAAAUAUCUAAAAAUGUUGAAUAAAAUAUAUGUCAUAUUUGAAUAUGUCUAAAACAUUUCUCAAGAAGGAAUCCACCUCAAAUUCACAACCCAUUUCGAUCUACAAAAAUGGCAAAUGGCGAGGAUCUAGUAAACUGAUCCGAAUUUAAGCUAAUAUAACUUAAUUAAUAUUAAUCCUUCUUAGCACUAAUAUAACCAUGAUAAUUAACACUAAUCUAACUCCCAAAGUGUAAUUAACAACCUAAUCAAUGAUUAGGAAGUUAACUCACCGGAUUAGCGAGAAAAUGGGAUCACGGCGACGGCGGCGUGACGGCGGUGAAGACCCGUAACUACCGAGUCUCCAACGGAGGCUCAACGGCAAAGGACAAAGCCUUACAAGCUCAUGGCUGAGGGGCUCGAUUCUGGUUCUGUUCUACUGGGUCGAUCUGGGCUUGGUGGUUCUGCUUGGCAGAGCUUGCUGGCCGUUGGCAGGUUGGUGGUGGACGUGUGAAGGGGCUGCGGUGGUCGGUUCGCUGGCUGCUCGGUGAAGCGUUGCUGGGCUUCGGUGGCUGUGGUGGAAUGAAGAAAUCGCUGGCGUGAGGUGCAAAGUUGGUGAGGUGCGGCUGACGUGAGGGGGAAGGAUC
rnacentral:lncRNA from 1 species